rnacentral:rRNA from 1 species
AGAGUUUGAUCAUGGCUCAGGACGAACGCUGGCGGCGUGCCUAACACAUGCAAGUCAACGAGAAAGGGGUAGCAAUAUCCCGAGUAAAGUGGCGCACGGGUGAGUAACGCGUAGGCAAUUUGCCUUCAGGACGGGGAUAAUUCAUCGAAAGGUGGACUAAUACCCGAUUAUGCAUCGGAAUCGCCUGGUUCUGAUGUUAAAUGCCCGCAAGGGUGCCUGUUGAUGAGCCUGCGUCCCAUUAGGUAGUUGGCGGGGUAACAGCCCACCAAGCCGACGAUGGGUAGCUGGUCUGAGAGGAUGAUCAGCCACACUGGAACUGAGACAUGGUCCAGACUCCUACGGGAGGCAGCAGUGAGGAAUAUUGCGCAAUGGCCGAAAGGCUGACGCAGCGACGCCGCGUGAGGGAUGAAGUCCGUUAGGAUGUAAACCUCUUUUGCAGGGGAUGAAAAACCGCUUUCGGGCGGAAUUGACCGUACCCUGCGAAUAAGGAUCGGCCAACUACGUGCCAGCAGCCGCGGUAAUACGUAGGAUCCGAGCGUUGUCCGGAAUUACUGGGUGUAAAGGGCGUGUAGGUGGGUCUUUAAGUCGGGGGUGAAAUCCUGCGGCUUAACUGCAGAACUGCUUCCGAUACUGAAGAUCUUGAGUACGGCAGAGGGAGAUGGAAUUCAUGGUGUAGCGGUGAAAUGUGUAGAUAUCAUGUAGAACACCGGUAGCGAAGGC